rnacentral:lncRNA from 1 species
CGCCAUGUGAAACGUGUCUUUCACCUUCCGCCAUGGUUGCCAGGCCUCCCCAGCCACUUGGAACUCAAAAUACAAUGCCCAGAAGCUUUUGGAAGGCAGUGACAGUGGCUGUGCAAAUGAUGAUAUUUACAUCUGAAGUUUAAACUACUUCUUUGAGAUCUACUCUGAAGAUUUACUCAUUCAUCUGGGUUAUCUCCCAUGUAUACAGAAGGUAUACAUGUUAUUAAACUUCUUUUUGUUUUGUUUUUCACUUGUUAAUCUGUUUUUUUGUUGUUGUUAUGGAGAGACCCAGCUAAC